rnacentral:rRNA from 1 species
GCGUAACGCGUGGGAAUCUGCCCUUGGGUACGGAAUAACAGAGAGAAAUUUCUGCUAAUACCGUAUGAUGUCGCAAGACCAAAGAUUUAUCGCCCAAGGAUGAGCCCGCGUAGGAUUAGCUAGUUGGUGGGGUAAUGGCCCACCAAGGCGACGAUCCUUAGCUGGUCUGAGAGGAUGAUCAGCCACACUGGGACUGAGACACGGCCCAGACUCCUACGGGAGGCAGCAGUGGGGAAUAUUGGACAAUGGGCGAAAGCCUGAUCCAGCAAUGCCGCGUGAGUGAUGAAGGCCUUAGGGUUGUAA